UAAAAGCUUUAUUGUCUCACCUGGGAUGCUGAUCUCUGGCAUCAUCAGGCUUGUUUGCUUUUGUGUAGCAUAAGAGGAGAGAACAGCCGCUGAAAUGGGUGAAUCUGAAACGGAACAAGGUAUUAGUCUCGGAAUAGCUCGCAUCUUAAGUUAUACUGGCAGCCGAUACAAUGUGGAAACUCGAAUAUGUACGGUCAGAUAAAUAUUUCUCUGAUCCACGGUGCGUCGCUUGCAUGCAUUAUACAAGUGAGCUGGGGUACCUAUAGACACAACCAUUAAACGCAUGGCCGCUAGCGCUAGAAAGUGCGGCGUGCUGCAUGUCGACGAAGGCGUGCGCAAAUACGAAGCCAUGAAAUGAAUUUCGCCUUAGCUUCGGUUGAAGACAGCGACUUCCCCUGAAUAAUUGAACGCCGGAUGCGCUGAGCAUCAGAAUCCAUUUCGUAUAAUCUUGCAGGCGGAAACGCUGCGGGAUGCGUCGGCGUUGCACAAAUGCACGUUGUACGCUGCGGCGAACCGGUGAACGUCCGACGACCACAACACAGUUUUACACGUGUUUUGCCGCUCUCCCGCAGAGAAUGCUGGGACGUCGAUUGCUUGUGUCACGUGGUACAUUUCUCCUCACACGUUCCCUCCCACCUGCUCUCCGGAUGAACGCCGCAUUCCAGUGGCGGGUCGAGUGUUCCUGCUCUCACUGCGCUGCCACCCGACUCCGCACAGCUCGGCUCUCUACUCCUGUUCUCCCAAUGGAAUUCGCCUUAUG
rnacentral:lncRNA from 1 species